rfam:Bacillus pseudalcaliphilus strain DSM 8725 super1, whole genome shotgun sequence.
AGGCAAUAUCUCCUCGCCUUUAUCGCUGGAGGUACUCGACUAUGCUGUGGGUUUAUUUGAACAAAUCACCUUAGGUACGAGCUGUUACCAAAGGUAUAGUGUGAGGGUGGGUUUAAUGCCCA